rnacentral:rRNA from 1 species
UCCUACGGGAGGCAGCAGUGGGGAAUAUUGCACAAUGGGCGCAAGCCUGAUGCAGCGACGCCGCGUGCGGGAUGACGGCCUUCGGGUUGUAAACCGCUUUUGACUGGGAGCAAGCCCUUCGGGGUGAGUGUACCUUUCGAAUAAGCACCGGCUAACUACGUGCCAGCAGCCGCGGUAAUACGUAGGGUGCAAGCGUUAUCCGGAAUUAUUGGGCGUAAAGGGCUCGUAGGCGGUUCGUCGCGUCCGGUGUGAAAGUCCAUCGCUUAACGGUGGAUCCGCGCCGGGUACGGGCGGGCUUGAGUGCGGUAGGGGAGACUGGAAUUCCCGGUGUAACGGUGGAAUGUGUAGAUAUCGGGAAGAACACCAAUGGCGAAGGCAGGUCUCUGGGCCGUCACUGACGCUGAGGAGCGAAAGCGUGGGGAGCGAACAGGAUUAGAUACCCUGGUAGUCCACGCCGUAAACGGUGGAUGCUGGAUGUGGGGACCAUUCCACGGUCUCCGUGUCGGAGCCAACGCGUUAAGCAUCCCGCCUGGGGAGUACGGCCGCAAGGCUAAAACUCAAAGAAAUUGACGGGGGCCCGCACAAGCGGCGGAGCAUGCGGAUUAAUUCGAUGCAACGCGAAGAACCUUACCUGGGCUUGACAUGUUCCCGACAGCCCCAGAGAUGGGGCCUCCCUUCGGGGCGGGUUCACAGGUGGUGCAUGGUCGUCGUCAGCUCGUGUCGUGAGAUGUUGGGUUAAGUCCCGCAACGAGCGCAACCCCGCUCCUGUGUUGCCAGCACGUCGUGGUGGGAACUCAGGGG